ensembl:lncRNA
ACCCCAUCAUCAGAACACCAUCAUACCCUAUCAUCAUAACAUCAUAGGAACAUCAUCAUACCCUAUCAUCAGAACACCAUCACACCCCAUCAUCAGAACAUCAUCAGAACACCAUCAUACCCUAUCAUCAUAACAUCAUAGGAACAUCAUCAUACCCUAUCAUCAGAACACCAUCAUACCCCAUCAUCAUAACAUCAUCAGAACAUCAUCAUUCCCUAUCAUCAUAACAUCAUAGGAACAUCAUCAUACCCUAUCAUCAGAACACCAUCAUACCCUAUCAUCAUAACAUCAUCAAAACAUCAUCAGAACAUCAUCAGAACAUCAUCAUACCCUAUCAUCAGAACAUCAUCAUACCCCAUCAUCAUAUCAUCAGAACACCAUCAUACCCUAUCAUCAUAACAUCAUCAGAACACCAUCAUACCCAUCAUCAUAACAUCAUCAGAACAUCAUCAUACCCUAUCAUCAUAACAUCAUAGGAACAUCAUCAUACCCUAUCAUCAGAACACCAUCAUACCCUAUCAUCAUAACAUCAUAGGAACAUCAUCAUACCCUAUCAUCAGAACACCAUCAUACCCUAUCAUCAUAACAUCAUCAGAACAUCAUCAUACCCUGUCAUCAUAACAUCAUCAGAACAUCAUCAUACCCUAUCAUCAGAACAUCAUCAUACCCCAUCAUCAGAACACCAUCAUACCCUAUCAUCAGAACAUCAUCAGAACAUCAUCAUACCCUAUCAUCAUAACAUCAUCAUACCCUAUCAUCAGAACAUCAUCAGAACAUCAUCAUACCCUAUCAUCAGAACAUCAUCAUACCCCAUCAUCAUAUCAUCAUCAUACCCUAUCAUCAUAACAUCAUCAUACCCCAUCAUCAGAACACCAUCAUACCCUUUUCAUCAUCAUACCCCAUCAUCAGAACACCAUCAUAACCUAUCAUCAGAACACCAUCAUACCCGUCAUCAGAACACCAUCAUACCCCAUCAUCAGAACAUCAUCAUACCCCAUCAUCAGAACAUCAUCAGAACACCAUCAUACCCCAUCAUCAGAACAUCAUCAGAACACCAUCAUACCCUAUCAUCAUAACAUCAUCAGAACGUCAUCAGAACAUCAUCAUACCCUAUCAUCAGAACAUCAUCAUACCCUAUCAUCAGAACAUCAUCAGAACACCAUCAUACCCUAUCAUCAGAACAUCAUUAUACCCUAUCAUCAGAACACCAUCAUACCCGUCAUCAGAACACCAUCAUACCCCAUCAUCAGAACAUCAUCAGAACACCAUCAUACCCCAUCAUCAGAACAUCAUCAGAACAUCAUCAUACCCCAUCAUCAGCAC